AGUGAACGCUGGCGGUAGGCCUAACACAUGCAAGUCGAACGGCAGCACAGUAAGAGCUUGCUCUUACGGGUGGCGAGUGGCGGACGGGUGAGGAAUACAUCGGAAUCUACUUUUUCGUGGGGGAUAACGUAGGGAAACUUACGCUAAUACCGCAUACGACCUACGGGUGAAAGCAGGGGAUCUUCGGACCUUGCGCGAUUGAAUGAGCCGAUGUCGGAUUAGCUAGUUGGCGGGGUAAAGGCCCACCAAGGCGACGAUCCGUAGCUGGUCUGAGAGGAUGAUCAGCCACACUGGAACUGAGACACGGUCCAGACUCCUACGGGAGGCAGCAGUGGGGAAUAUUGGACAAUGGGCGCAAGCCUGAUCCAGCCAUACCGCGGGGGUGAAGAAGGCCUUCGGGUUGUAAAGCCCUUUGUUGGGAAAGAAAAGCAGCAGGUUAAUACCCCGCUGUUCUGACGGUACCCAAAGAAUAAGCACCGGCUAACUUCGUG
rnacentral:rRNA from 1 species